UACGUAGGGUGCAAGCGUUGUCCGGAAUUAUUGGGCGUAAAGGGCUCGUAGGCGGUCUGUUGCGUCGGGUGUGAAAACUUACAGCUUAACUGUGAGCGUGCUUUCGAUACGGGCAGACUGGAGUACUGCAGGGGAGACUGGAAUUCCUGGUGUAGCGGUGGAAUGCGCAGAUAUCAGGAGGAACACCAAUUGCGAAGGCAGCUCGCUGGGACGUAACUGACGCUGAGACGCGAAAGCGUGGGGAGCAAACAGG
rnacentral:rRNA from 1 species